rnacentral:lncRNA from 1 species
GUGGUGGUUUAGUUGGAGCAGCCCAUCAGGCGUUAACUGGACUCGCUGAGCACUGACCCGUUAUCCUUCCACUGCACAGAGCGGAAGCUGUUCGUUGCUCUGUGAAACCAGCCUCACGCAGUCCACCCCACUUUAGGAAUCAAGCAACCUGGUCUUUCGACUAAGCCACGUGAUCCAACUCCAUGCUUGGAGAGGGCAGGCCAGACUAUAAGCCUACCGAACCCAACCAUCUGGGUCAACCCAACAUUCCACCACAUUAAUGCCCCCACUCGGAGCGGAAACUUAUCGUUGCUCUUCCAUUUCUUCAAUUGGGCCACAUGAUCCAACUCUAAGCUUGGAUAGGGCAAGUCAGAAAUUAGCCCACCAAGCCCAACCAUCUGGUACAGCCCAACAUUCCACCACAUUAAUGCCCCCAUUUGGGUUACAAGCCCACAUUACUAAGCUCGGC